rnacentral:lncRNA from 1 species
UGUAAUUGCUUUUAAUUUAUUGCAUACACUGUGAUCGGAAGACGUGAUCAGGGGGAAGCUCUGAUGAAAGCAUUGAAGCAAAAGCAUGCAUAAAAGGAAGCUUGUUUCUUGAGUCAUAGUUUUCAGGAAACAGUAGCAGAAGAGUUCUUCACAUAUAUAUACAAUAAGCGGUGAUAAACCGCUUUUCACUACAAAGAGAACAAUAUAAUCUAAAGAUGAUAGACUACAUUACACAGUACUUUUCACCAUAGAAGCAGCAGGGGAAGACUAAAGUUUAUAUAUAGCUUGCUCGGAGUUCUCCGAAAGGGGAAAGAUAUUGGUCUCAUUGAUGCGAAACAAAAGGUGGCUGUUUUCGUAACAACCAAAGCAUGCAGGCCAGGAUACAUUGACCAAAGUCUACCAGAAACUAUUUCUGGUUGCUUCGAGGCGGUGCUCAAAAUUAUAGGAUGUCCGAUGUCGCUCGGAAAGAUAAACAUCUUUUUUAAUUAUCUCACAAAUAAAAAUAAGGAUGUUCUCUGAAUAAAUUAAUAUUGGUUUCUGUAAGAGAAAUUCAAUUAAAUGGUCAGCAUGAUACCCUUCCAGCGUAGACUUCGCUUGAUAAGCAAGCAGAAUAUAGAAGAUACCUUGACAAAGAAGAGAUAUUACAGUUAUUAGCAUACUGCACCAUACCAUUAAUCACAGUUGCAGAAUAAGUAGAACCAAAGAAACCUUAGUCGUACCGUAUGUACAUAUCUAGAUAACGGCAUGGAAGAAGUGCUCCAUGGAAGAACUACUGCCUCGCUUUCUUUGGUGCGCCAAUGUUGGGUUUCGUAGUAAUUUUAAAAAUUUUCCUACGCACACGCAAGAUCAUGUGAUGCAUAGCAACGAGAGGGGAGAGUGUUGUCUACAUACCCUUGUAGACCGUAAGCGGAAGCGUUAGCACAACGCGGUUGAUGUAGUCGUAAGUCUUCACGGCCUGACCGAUCAAGCACCGAAACUACGGCACCUCCGAGUUCUAGCACACGUUCAGCUCGAUGACGUCCCUCGAACUCCGAUCCAGCCGAGUGUCGAGGGAGAGUUCCGUCAGCACGACGGCGUGGUGACGAUCUUGAUGUUCUACCGUCGCAGGCCUUCGCCUAAGCACCGCUACGAUAUUAUCGAGGUGGACUAUGGUGGAGGGGGGCACCGCACACGGCUAAGAGAUCCAAGGGAUCAAUUGUUGUUUUUUUGGUGCUAGCCCUGCCCCUCUAUUUAUAUGUUGAGCCCCGGGGUCGAAACUUGGAGCAAAAGCCUCCUCAAAGUCGGUUUUUACCGAAAGGCAAGAGUCCCACUCGGACUCCAGGACCAAACGCCACAAUCCUUGGCGUCUGGCCCAGACGCCAUGGGCCUCGGCGUCUGGCCCAGGGCCAAACGCCAGGGUCUCUGGCGUUUGGCCCCCUGAACUCCGCAAAACUCCUUUUGCACCGAUCUAAAGCCUCAUGGGCUUGACCCCUUGGCCUAACCAUAUCAUCCAAUAUAUGAAUCUUUACGUCUCGACCAUUUCGAGACUCCUCGUCAUGUCCCCAAUCUCAUCCGGGACUCCGAACUCCUUCGGUACAUCAAAACAUGUAAACUCAUAAUAUAACUGUCAUCGUAACCUUAAGCGUGCGGACCCUACGGGUUCGAGAACAAUGUAGACAUGACCGAGACACGUCUCCGGUCAAUAACCAAUAGCGGGACCUGGAUGCCCAUAUUGGCUCCUACAUAUUCUACGAAGAUCUUUAUCGGUCAGACCGCAUAACAACAUACGUUGUUCCCUUUGUCAUCGGUAUGUUACUUGCCCGAGAUUCGAUCGUCGGUAUCCAAUACCUAGUUCAAUCUCGUUACCGGCAAGUCUCUUUACUCGUUCCGUAAUACAUCAUCUCACAACUAACAUAUUAGUUGUAAUGCUUGCAAGGCUUAUGUGAUGUGUAUUACCGAGAGGGCCCAGAGAUACCUCUCCGACAAUCGGAGUGACAAAUCCUAAUCUCGAAAUACGCCAACCCAACAUCGACCAUUGGUGACACCUGUAGUACUCCUUUAUAAUCACCCAGUUACGUUGUGAUGUUUGGUAGUACCCAAAGUGUUCCUCCGGUAAACGGGAGUUGCAUAAUCUCAUAGUCAUAGGAACAUGUAUAAGUCAUGAAGAAAGCAAUAGCAACAUACUAAACGAUCGGGUGCUAAGCUAAUGGAAUGGGUCAUGUCAAUCAGAUCAUUCUACUAAUGAUGUGACCUCGUUAAUCAAAUAACAACUCAUUGUUCAUGGUUAGGAAACAUAACCAUCUUUGAUUAACGAGCUAGUCAAGUAGAGGCAUACUAGUGACACUUUGUUUGUCUAUGUAUUCACACAUGUAUUAUGUUUCCGGUAAAUACAAUUCUAGCAUGAAUAAUAAACAUUUAUCAUGAUUAUAAGGAAAUAAAUAAUAACUUUAUUAUUGCCUCUAGGGCAUAUUUCCUUCAGUCUCCCACUUGCACUAGAGUCAAUAAUCUAGUUCACAUCGUCAUGUGAUUUAACACCAAUAUUCAUAUCUGUAUAUGAUUAACACCCAUAGUUCACAUCAUCAUGUGACCAACACCCAAAGGGUUUACUAGAGUCAAUAAUCUAGUUCACAUUGCUAUGUGAUUAACAUCCAAAGAGUACUAAGGUGUGAUCAUGUUUUGCUCGUGAGAGAAGCUUAGUCAACGGGUCUAUCACAUUCAGAGCCGUAUGUAUUUUGCAAAUAUUCUAUGUCUACAAUGCUCUGUACGGAGCUACUCUAGCUAAUCGCUCCCACUUUCAAUAUGUAUCCAGAUUGAGUCUUAGAGUCAUCUGGAUUAGUGUAAAAGUUUGCACUGAUGUAACUUUUACAACAAACUCUUUUAUCACCUCCAUAAUCGAGAAACAUCUCCUUAGUCCUUACUAAGGAUAUUCUUGACCAAUGUCCAGUGAUCUACUCCUAGAUCACUAUUGUACUCCCUUGCCAAAUACAGAGCAAGGUAUACAAUAGGUCUGGUACAAAGCAUAGCAUACUUUAUAGAACCUAUGACUGAGGCAUAGGGAAUGACUUUUCAUUCUCUUUCUAUUUUCUGCUGUGGUCGGGAUUUGAGUCUUACUCAAUUUCAUACCUUUGCAACACAGGCAAGAACUCUUUCUUUAACUGUUCCAUUUUGAACUAUUUCAAAAUCUUGCCAAGGUAUGUACUCAUUGAAAAUCUUAUCAAGCGUCUUGAUCUAUCUCAAUAGAUCUUGAUGCUCAAUAUAUAAGUAGCUUUUUACUGAGGUCUUUUCUUUUUAAAGAACUCCUUUAAAACACUCCUUUAUGCUUUGCAGAAAAAUUCUACAUCAUUUCUGAUCAACAAUAUGUCACUCACAUAUACUAAUCAGAAAGGCUGUAGUGAUCCCACUCACUUUAUUGUAAAUACAGGCUUCAUCGUAAGUCCAUAUAAAACUAUAUGCUUUGAUCAACUUAUCAAAGCGUAUAUUCCAACUCCGAGAUGCUUGCACCAGUCCAUAGAUGGAUCGCUGGAGCUUGCACAUUUUGUUAGCACCUUUAGGAUUGACAAAACCUUCUGGUUGCAUCAUAUACAACUCUUCUUUAAUAAAUCCAUUAAGGAAUGCAGUUUUGACAUCCAUUUGCCAGAUUUCAUAAAAUGUGGCAAUUGCUAACAUGAUUCAGAUAGACUUAAGCAUCGAUACGAGUGAGAAAACCUCAUCGUAUUCAACACCUUGAACUUGUUGAAAAACUUUUGCAACAAGUCGAGCUUGGUAGAUAGUAACACUACUAUCAGUGUCCGUCUUCCUCUUGAAGAUCCAUUUAUUUAACAUGGCUUUGCUGAUCAUCGAGCAAGUCAAUCAAAGUCCAUACUUUGUUGUCAUACAUGGAUCAUAUCUCAGAUUUUAUGGCCUCAAGCCAUCUCGCGGAAUCUGGGCUCAUCAUCGCUUCCUCAUAGUUCGUAGGUUCAUCAUGGUCUACUAACAUGACUUCCAGAACAUGAUUACUACACCACUCUGGUGCAUAUCUUACUCUGGAAGACCUACGAGGUUCUGUAGUAACUUGAUCUGAAGUUUUAUGAUCAAUAUCAUUAGCUUCCUCACUAAUUGGUGUAUUUGUCACAGGAACUGAUUUCUGUGAUGAACUACUUUCCAAUAAGGGAGCAGGUACAGUUACCUCAUCAAGUUCUACUUUCCUCCCACUCACUUCUUUCGAGAGAAACUCCUUCUCCAGAAAGGAUCCAUUUUUAGCAACGAAUAUCUUGCCUCCGGAUCUGUGAUAGAAGGUGUACCCAACAAUUUCCUUUGGGUAUUCUAUGAAGACGCACUUCUCCGAUUUGGGUUCGAGCUUAUCAGGAUGAAACUUUUUCACAUAAGCAUCGCAGCCCCAAACUUUAAGAAACGACAACUUGGGUUUCUUGCUAAACCACAGUUCAUAUAGUGUCGUCUCAACGGAUUUAGAUGGUGCCCUUUUAACGUGAAUGCAGCUAUCUCUAAUGCAUAACCCCAAAACGACAAUGGUAAAUCAAUAAGAGACAUCAUAGAUCGCACCAUAUCCAAUAAAGCGCGGUUACGAUGUUCGGACACACCAUAACAUUGUGGUGUUCCAGGUGGCGUGAGCUAUGAAACUAUUCCACAUUGUUUUAAUUGAAGACCAAACUCGUAACUCAAAUAUUCGUCUCCGUGAUCAGAUCGCAGAAACUUUAUUUUUCUUGUUACGAUGAUUUUUCCACUUCACUCUGAAAUUCUUUAAACCUUUCAAUUAUUUCAGACUUAUGUUUCAUCAAGUAGAUAUCCCCAUAUCUGCUCAAAUCAUCUUGUGAAGGUCAGAAAAUAAUGAUACCUGCUGUAAGCCUUUCAUCGGACCACAUACAUCGGUAUGUAUGAUUUCCAACAAAUCUGUUGCUUGCUUCAUUGUUCCGGAGAACGGCGUUUUAGUCAUCUUGCCCAUAAGGCAUGGUUCGCAAGCAUCAAGUGAUUUAUAAUCAAGUGAUUCCAAAAUCCCAUCAGCAUGGAGUUUCUUCAUGUGCUUUACACCAAUAUGACCUAAACGGCAGUGCCAUAAAUAAGUUGCACUAUCAUUAUUAACUUUACAUCUUUUGGUUUCAAUAUUAUGAAUAUGUGUAUCACUAAGAUCGAGAUCCAAUGAACUAUUUUCAUUGGGUGUGUAACCAUAUAAAGUUUUAUUCAUGUAAACAGAACAACAAUUUAUUCUUUUACUUAAAUGAAUAACCGUAUUACAAUAAACAUGAUCAAAUCAUAUUCAUGCUCACCAAAUAACACUUAUUUAGUUUCAACACUAAUCCCGAAAAUAUAGGGAGUGUGCGAUGAUGAUCAUAUCAAUCUUGGAACCACUUCCAACACACAUCGUCACUUCACCCUUAACUAGUCUCUAUUUAUUCUGCAACUCCCGUUUCGAGUUACUAAUCUUAGCAACUGAACUAGUAUCAAAUACUUAGGGUUUGCUAUAAACACUAGUAAAGUACACAUCAAUAACAUGUAUAUCAAAUAUACUUAUGUUCACUUUGCCAUCCUUCUUAUCCGCCAAUCACUUGGGGUGAUUCCGUUUCCGGUGACCAGUCCCUUUGCAGUAGAAGCACUUAGUCUCAGGCUUAGGACCAGACUUGGGCUUCUUCACUUGAGCAGCAACUUGCUUGCCGUUCUUUCUUGAAGUUCCCCUUCUUCCCUUUGCCCUUUUCUUGAAACUAGUGGUCUUAUCAACCAUCAACACUUGAUGUUUUUCUUGAUUUCUACCUUCAUUGAUUUCAUCAUCACGAAGAGCUUGGGAGUUGUUUCCGUUAUCCCUUGCAUAUUAUAGUUCAUCACGAAGUUCUACUAACUUGGUGAUGGUGACUAGAGAAUUCUGUCAAUCACUAUCUUAUCUGGAAGAUUAACUCCCACUUGAUUCAAGCGAUUGUAGUACCCAGACAAUCUGAGCACAUGCUCACUAGUUGAGCGAUUCUCCUCCAUCUUUUAGCUAUAGAACUUGUUGGAGACUUCAUAUCUCACAACUCGGGUAUUUGCUUGAAAUAUUAACUUCAACUCCUGGAACAUCUCAUAUGGUCCACGACGUUCAAAACGUCUUUGAAGUCCCGAUUCUAAGCCGUUAAGCAUGGUGCACUUAAACUAUCAAGUAGUCAUCAUAUUGAGCUAGCUAAACGUUCAUAACGUUUGCAUCUGCUCCUGCAAUAGGUCUGUCACCUAGCGGUGCAUCAAGGACAUAAUUCUUCUGUGCAGCAAUGAGGAUAAUCCUUAGAUCACGGAUCCAAUCCGCAUCAUUGCUACUAACAUCUUUCAACACAAUUUUCUCUAGGAACAUAUCAAAAUAAACACAGGGAAGCAACAACGCGAGCUAUUGAUCUAUAAUUUGCAAAAUACUACCAGGAUUAAGUUCAUGAUAAAUUUAAGUUCAAUUAAUCAUAUUACUUAAGAACUCCCACUUAGACAGACAUCCCUCUAAUCCUCUAAGUGAUCACGUGAUCCAAAUCAACUAAACCAUGUCCGAUCAUCACGUGAGAUGGAGUAGUUUCAAUGGUGAACAUCACUAUGUUGAUCAUAUCUACUAUAUGAUUCACGCUCGACCUUUCGGUCUCCGUGUUCCGAGGCCAUAUCUGCAUAUGCUAGGCUCGUCAAGUUUAACCUGAGUAUUCUGCGUGCACAACUGUUUUGCACCCGUUGUAUUUGAACGUAGAGCCUAUCACACCCGAUCAUCACGUGGUGUCUCAGCACGAAGAACUUUCGCAACGGUGCAUACUCAGGGAGAACACUUCUUGAUAAUUUAGUGAGAGAUCAUCUUAUAAUGCUACCGUCAAUCAAACAAGAUAAGAUGCAUAAAAAGAUAAACAUCACAUGCAAUCAAUAUAAGUGAUAUGAUAUGGCCAUCAUCAUCUUGUGCUUGUGAUCUCCAUCUCCGAAGCACCGUCAUGAUCACCAUCGUCACCGGCGCGACACCUUGAUCUCCAUCGUAGCAUCGUUGUCGUCUCGCCAAUCUUAUGCUUCCACGACUAUCGCUACCGCUUAGUGAUAAAGUAAAGCAUUACAUCGCGAUUGCAUUGCAUACAAUAAAGCGACAACCAUAUGGCUCCUGCCAGUUGCCGAUAACUUGAUUACAAAAACAUGAUCAUCUCAUACAAUAAAAUUCAGCAUCAUGCCUUGACCAUAUCACAUCACAACAUGCCCUGCAAAAACAAGUUAGACGUCCUCUACUUUGUUGUUGCAUGUUUUACGUGGCUGCUACGGGCUUAAGUAAGAACCAAUCUCACCUACGCAUCAAAACCACAACGAUAGUUUGUCAAAUAGACUCCGUUUUAACCUUCGCAAGGACCGGGCGUAGCCACACUCGGUUCAACUAAAGUUGGAGAGACAGAUGCCCGCAAGCCAUCUAUGUGCAAAGCACGUCGAGGGAACCGGUCUCGCGUAAGCGUACGCGUAAGGUUGGUCCGGGUCGUCUCGUCCAAUAAUACCGCCGAACCAAAGUAUGACAUGCUGGUAGGCAGUAUGACUUGUAUCGUCCACAACUCACUUGUGUUCUACUCGUGCAUAUAACAUCAACAUAAAUAACCUAGGCUUGGAUGCCACUGUUGGGUUUCGUAGUAAUUUCAAAAAAUUUCCUACGCACACGCAAGAUCAUGUGAUGCAUAGCAACGAGAGGGGAGAGUGUUGUCUACAUACCCUUGUAGACCGUAAGCGGAAGCGUUAGCACAACGCAGUUGAUAUAGUCGUACGUCUUCACGGCCCGACCGAUCAAGCACCGAAACUACGGCACCUCCGAGUUCUAGCACACGUUCAGCUCGAUGACGUCCCUCGAACUCCGAUCCAGCCGAGUGUCGAGGGAGAGUUCCGUCAGCACGACGGCGUGGUGACGAUCUUGAUGUUCUACCGUCGCAGGGCUUCGCCUAAGCACCGCUACGAUAUUAUCGAGGUGGACUAUGGUGGAGGGGGGCACCGCACACGGCUAAGAGAUCCAAGGGAUCAAUUGUUGUUUUUUUGGUGCUAGCCCUGCCCCUCUAUUUAUAUGUUGAGCCCCGGGGUCGAAACUUGGAGCAAAAGCCUCCUCAAAGUCGGUUUUUACCGAAAGGCAAGAGUCCCACUCGGACUCCAGGACCAAACGCCACAAUCCUUGGCGUCUGGCCCAGACGCCAUGGGCCUCGGCGUCUGGCCCAGGGCCAGACGCCAGGGUCUCCGGCAUUUGGCCCCCUAAACUCCGCAAAACUCCUUUUGCACCGAUCUAAAGCCUCAUGGGCUUGACCCCUUGGCCUAACCAUAUCAUCCAAUAUAUGAAUCUUUACGUCUCGACCAUUUCGAGACUCCUCGUCAUGUCCCCAAUCUCAUCCGGGACUCCGAACUCCUUCGGUACAUCAAAACAUGUAAACUCAUAAUAUAACUGUCAUCGUAACCUUAAGCGUGCGGACCCUACGGGUUCGAGAACAAUGUAGACAUGACCGAGACACGUCUCCGGUCAAUAACCAAUAGCGGGACCUGGAUGCCCAUAUUGGCUCCUACAUAUUCUACGAAGAUCUUUAUCGGUCAGACCGCAUAACAACAUACGUUGUUCCCUUUGUCAUCGGUAUGUUACUUGCCCGAGAUUCGAUCGUCGGUAUCCAAUACCUAGUUCAAUCUCGUUACUGGCAAGUCUCUUUACUCGUUCCGUAAUACAUCAUCUCACAACUAACAUAUUAGUUGUAAUGCUUGCAAGGCUUAUGUGAUGUGUAUUACCGAGAGGGCCUAGAGAUACCUCUCCGACAAUCGGAGUGACAAAUCCUAAUCUCGAAAUACGCCAACCCAACAUCGACCAUUGGAGACACCUGUAGUACUCCUUUAUAAUCACCCAGUUACGUUGUGACGUUUGGUAGUACCCAAAGUGUUCCUCCGGUAAACGGGAGUUGCAUAAUCUCAUAGUCAUAGGAACAUGUAUAAGUUAUGAAGAAAGCAAUAGCAACAUACUAAACGAUCGGGUGCUAAGCUAAUGGAAUGGGUCAUGUCAAUCAGAUCAUUCAACUAAUGAUGUGACCUCGUUAAUCAAAUAACAACUCAUUGUUCAUGGUUAGGAAACAUAACCAUCUUUGAUUAACGAGCUAGUCAAGUAGAGGCAUACUAGUGACACUUUGUUUGUCUAUAUAUUCACACAUGUAUUAUGUUUCCGGUAAAUACAAUUCUAGCAUGAAUAAUAAACAUUUAUCAUGAAAUAAGGAAAUAAAUAAUAACUUUAUUAUUGCCUCUAGGGCAUAUUUCCUUCAGCCAACUCCCUUGGCGGCAUUGCCUGUUCUAAAUUUGAUCAAUUAGCAAAAACAAUGACACGUUAACAACUUUGUUCCUGGUGAUAAAGGCUAGAUCUUCAGAAUGUUGUAUACACAGGAAGUGCAUAAAGAUUAGACACAAAAAUUGCAAGACAACAUAAACAAACAGAAGACUCAUUGAACCCUAGCACAUAGGAAACCAACUCCAUAGAUAAUCAAUUGGUAGGCGCAUGCAACAGGAAAGAAAUGGUAAUACACAUAAAAAGGCUGAAGGUACAUAUAUAUUUUACUGACCCUCUCAUGAAUCUAGAAAGAAAAGUCUGAUCAAACAGCAUUAGACGCAUCAGUGAAGAGAGAAAACAUAGUCAACAUACAAAGGGAACAAUGUUUUUCAUUGUAAAGAAGGGAAGGCUUCGUAAAUUCCUAAAUGGGAGGGUAGUAUUUCUGUUUAGGCAUCUAUUCUGCAAUUUAUUAGCGAGUAACUAAAUAGUAAAAGUCUGUGUUUUUUUUGUGAGUAAGUGAUUAAUCUGCAUAUAUCAGUGAGGUACAGAACAGGAAUUGAGCCUGGUAACAAACCCGCACUCAGUAAAUUUGUAAUUGUUGUGACCAAGAAGCAAGCAGAAAAAUAGCUGAACCUUAGAACUUAUAUUAGAAAAAGUAGAGAUCAAAUGCAUAUACCAAAGCAGGAGCCGUUCCAUAAUCUAACACAACAAUCUAAUUUGUUCUAUAGGAGGGGUUUUCACCUUUUGGUCUUAGAGGGGUCAGGAAGCAUGUUCUUUGGAUCCUCAGCAGAUGCACUUUCAGUUUCCUCUCCAACCUGUAUAAUUUGGUGUUAUCAAAGAUCAUUGUACAUCAAGCAUGAUCUAUGCAGAAUGGGUAUGAUAUCUGCAUAUUAAGCAUAGGCACGAACAUUUAGCACGGAUGCAGGCUGAACAAUAUUUUCAGCAGUGGCACCUUCUUCAGUCUGAGAGGCCACUUUGAUAGCACGGGCAGAAUCAUUUAAUUGUCUGCAUUCUAAUAUGGUUUUUUGGUGUGUAAAUAGACGAUCAGCAAUACAACAUUGAAGCCAAGCUAAAUAAAAAAUAGUGGUAUAGUAGGCAACCUUUCCAAAACAGCAGAAACUAAAUAGGAUUUUGUUAGCGUUGGUAUUCUAAAUCAAAGCUGAGAUUUCCCAACAAAAUUGCAAUCUGGGAUCACAUAGACUGUAGUAUUAGAAAGGACAUAUGCAAGUAAUUCCGUAUGAUUAAUUAUUAGGGCCAGUUGAAUUGGCAGGAUCAUACACUAAUCACAAUUAUCAUUCAACUUUGUUUUAUAUUUAACGUCAUAAAAGAUUCUACAUAUUAAGAUGUUGCCUAGUACAUAGUCAACAUGCUAAAUGAAUGGUUAGAGUCAAAAGACUUGGGGUCUGUUUGGUUCAUACAGUACAUUAAAUCAAGCCCUCCACGGCAGCAACACCGACACAAAAACGGCAGCGACGCAAGCGCAACACACAACAAGCUCAGAACAAAGGAGAGCACGACACUUCUUGGGGGACAACAUUCAGUGAAGCAUCUAAUCUGUAUUUUGAAAGUGAGUCACCAAUAGAAGUAUUUGAGAGCCAAGAGCAAACUAUUUUGAGACCCAAGAGCAAACUAUUGACUCUAAUCACCAGGCUGUAAUAAGCAUGAGCAGAACUCAAAAUAGUGAAAGGAUGAGAAUCGAAUAAAUAUCACUUCAUUAUUUCUUUCCUAACUGAAGCAAAAACAAUCUCUUGCCCUGCCGGCACACAAACAAGGUGCAAUCACACAGCCCAAACCUCAUUUAGUUUCAACACAUGUUCUUCAUCCAUUGAAUUCCAGGGAAGGCAAGAAAAUUGAGAGAGCAAGAGACGUUGUAGAAGUCGGUACCUGCGGAGCUGCAACACCAUCUCAACCAUCUCUUCGCCGCCUUGAGCUUGAGGGAGGAGGGUCGGCGGCCUGGCAUCGCGGGUGGCCCGAGCUCUUCCUUCUUGCCACUGUCCAGCGCUGCCACACAAAGCGCCUCCAUCAGAACCCCGAUGCAGAGGGAGAGCACGCCAAAGUAGGAUGAUAUCAACAGCCAAAGUAGGAUGCAGUGUUAUUUGGACUUGGUAAAGAAGUUACCCUCUUCUUACUUUUUUGCAGUGGAGUAAUCUAGCAAUUCAGCAGCACCCGAGUUUUGGCGACCUUGAUUUCUUCUUCAACCAUCAACAAAGCCUUGACGCAAACAUGUUCACAUUUAAUAGAACCCUAUUAAAAGAGAUAUUCCAAAUUAAGGAAAAGUAAUCAUGGUAAAAUCUUAAUUCAUGAACAAUUUGAUAUGUUGAGCAUAUUGUUUGCUUCUCAAAGAGUGUGCCAAGAUUGAUGCUCUCGGGAUAGAAAUCAACUCGAAUACAACAACUACUAUCAGACUUUCUGCACGUCUCUCGACAACAAACUGUGCUGGGUCCUCGAUCGUAGCAAACAAUGUUACCAAGUCCAUCCACCACAUUAGGACACAUGCUGAGAUAAAAGGGUAAGAAGAUACUUGCCCUUUCCAUGGCGUAGGCAGCAUCAGUCAGCACGGUGGAGCUGUGCCAUAGGGUGGGCGCUGGAUCGGAGACCAGCGAGGCUAUUCGUGAGUUGGGUGGACUGGCAGCUCGCGUCGGCAUGGAAGCAAGCAAUGCUUUGCGGGCGUCUCGCCAUGCCGCGGACAUGGCCUUGACGAAUCCGCUGAUCAUUAAAUUUUCCAUGACCAUGAAAAGAUAAACAUGAAGGUCAGGCAUAGGCUAUAGUUGGAUGCAUAUACAGGACGAUGCCUAACAAAGAUCCAGUACAAUUUGUUCUAAACCUAAUCGAUUGGUGAGCCGGUCAAUACUGACCCAAAUUAAACUGAAGGUAUGACAUUACAGAAGCAUAAAUUCAGAAAUGGAAGAACUCAAAUGUAUUUGUUCAGUUCAAGGAAUGUGUGAGUUAAAAUAGACUGCUUCUAACGAAGUCGUUGGUCCCACUUCUACCGGCACACAUACAUACGCCGAUUGAGCGCAAAUAGAAGGCAAUCGCCAGCAUAUGCAAACUAAAACGUAAAGAAUCAAAUCUGUUACAGAGAAAAGGAUACUCGCUGGGAGCCGUCAUCGUGCAUCAUCUACAGCCUCCAUCACCCACCUGCCGAGGACUCCAUCCGCUGCAUGACUGCACGAAUGGCCUCCUAUUUUGCCACAGCAAGGUGGAACCAGGUGUAGAUGUCGUCACCCACCCGUUGAGGCCGCCGUCCUGUUGAGCGAUGACAAGGAGGAAAAGGUGAAGCGCACGCAGGGGGCUGGGUGUUUUAGUGUGGAAAAACAGAGAUAAUGAGAGAUGGGGAAGGGAUCUCACCGCCUUAAACUUGAGCUCGUGGACGAGCCGUCCUCUGCUGCUCUGCCUUGACCACCUCGAGCACCCCCUCUGUCUUCGUCCUCUCACCUUCUCGAGUAGAUCCAUGACCAUCUCCUUCCCCUCCCACCUCAGCCCUCCCUACCCUCAACUAUGCAGACUAGGCUACAGCCCCUCCUCGGCGACCUGGAGCGAGGGCCUACGAGGAGAGCGGCACCAAUCCUCGCGCGGGCCGACGCCGGUGGAGUCCCUCUCCAAUUCGAAGGCACACCUCCCUCUCUCACCUGCAGAUCGAAUCCAGCACCGCCACCGUCGCCGGCCAGCUCAUGGAGUCCAGCCACCGCCGCCCAAGAUGUUGGUUGCUGCUCCCCUCCUUUCCCCUCCUCCGCCGUCACCCCACAUGCCGAAUCUCGAUCGAGGCCGCACUCCUCGGCUCGAGGUCCUCCGGCUGAGGCCGGAUCGAGGUCGUGCUCAUCGAGGCCGGCCACGCGGGGGAGCCCGUCCCGCGCGAACCCAGAGCAGGCGGUGGAGACGGGUUCGCCCGCGAAGCGCUUGGCCACAGCAGCCUGCGCCCGAGCGAUGGGAAGGCGAGGAGGAGGAAGAGGCGAGGCGGUGGAGAAGUAGCAGUCGGCGGCGGGGCUCCUAGGGCGCAGGAGGAGGUGGGAGGGAGUGGCGGCGGACGAGGGAGGGAGGAGCGAGGGGCGUGGGGUUGUGGAUCGGGGCUAGGGUUAGAUGCCGUUUUCUACCCUGCACGGUGCGGUCAUUUUUCCGCUCGCCUGGUGCGCUGCACCCCCACGCGCGGCGCGGUGCGGUGGGCUUUUUUCCCUUGCGUGGUACCGUGCGCCGGAGGCCUUCGUUGUGACUACCUACCCCUUCAUCCUUUAUAAGUUAGAUUUGCAUUUUAGGAAGAUAUGACUGUCGCUCUCGUCAAGUCUAUCCAAAUCAAUUCCUCUGCGCUUUAGGUUGAGAAGUGGAAAGGCUGUCCUAAUCUCCGAAGGAACAUGCAUAUUUUCCUUGGCAACUUUUUCGCUCCAUAUUUGUCCCAACAGCUGGUCGUACCUGCAGCAGUCCAGCAGUGAUGUCUUCCUAUCCAACAACAGUAAUACUGACAUCUCCCUGUCCAAGAAUACAUCAAAAGGCUCGUAUUACAUCCAUUGGAAAAAGGAACCUAGCUUGCCCAAUGACUAGGUAUAAAUUGUUCAAAACGCAACCGCGAAUCCCAUUGUUAGAGUCUGGAACAAAAUGGAGCCUCCCCGUGCGUUUGGAUUCUGGACCGUUCGAUCGUUUUCCUGAUGCGAUUCCGGCCGUCGGAUCUCGGGCUCGGCUCACGUGAGGCGUCGGAUAUUUACCAGAUCGUUGCGGGCCGUUGGAUAAAAUUCCAAUUGCAACUGAAGGUAAAUACCGUGCCCCCACCGGGGCAUUUUGGUCAUUUCGCAUAGGGGGGUAUAAAAUGCGGCCGCUCCCGUGGCGGAGACCUAGCCGCCGCCUCUCCCGCACUCGCACAGCUCCUCGCCUCUUCCUCCCGUCCUCCCGCCCGCCGCCGCCGCCAGCCAUCCUCCCCGUCCAUCGCUGCCACACCAUCGCUGGCACCUACCCGAGGCGUGGGCGAUGCGGGCACCCGCGUCGGGGAGAUGGGCGCCACGCAGCGGUUGCCGGAUCCGUUUUGCUACAAGUCUGGGCGCGUCGGAUCCGCUGCUCCUCCCGCCCCGCCGCCCACGACCCCCUCUCCCGCAACUCCGGCCAGACGCCGUCGAGAGGUCAACUCUGGCCGCCUCCACCACCACCCAGUGGCAGGAGCGCACCUCCCCCUCCCCCGCUACUCCUCCUCUAUCACGUGUUCAUCACUGGGAGGAGCAGCGGAUCUGCCUAGUGGCGUCGCCGUCGGCUGAAGGAGUGGCGGACCAUGGUCCUCGAGUUACUGCACCUCCGGGAAGAAGACGACCUGAGGUGAGCAGCUUCCAAUCCGCCAUGCGAAGCCACCACUGAGUGCCCUCACCACUUUCCCCAUCCCCCCUCUCCUUCUCGCACGGAUUUACCAGUUCGUCUGCUCGUGAUUUGAUAUGUUGAUUUUGUCAUUUGCAGGGGGUGGAUCCUAAGGGGCAGAGAUGCAGUCCUCCAGAGUUGUUGGGAAGAAGAAGAUGGGUAAGCUCCUAUUUCUCUUCUAUGUUGAUUUAGCAGACGAAAAAAUUAGGAAGAGGACUAGAAAGAGUAUCUGCAGAUCUAUGUAAUUUUUUGUCCAAAAAGACCACCUGCCAAGAUAAAUUGACAAAAAAGACCACCUCUAAAUUAAAUAGUCAGAAAAGACCCCCUUGACCGUGACGGCAGGCGCACCAGCUGACACAUGGCACCUGCCGCCACGGUGCAAGGCGGCAGCCCCUGCCGCCAUGGUGUGAGACGGCACGCUGCAGAUUACAGAAUUCCACACCGCGACGGAACGGAGACGGUCCCAUGGGCCAUGCCGCCACUGUGUGAGGCGGCGGCUUGCGAUGAGACAGCUCUGCUGGCUAUCAGUUGGUGAGCUCUCGCGUUUUAUGUAUGCCGACACUGCCUGUGUAUGCUCUGGAAGCUCAUUUCUUUGCGCGCCCACUCCUCUCCUCUCUGCUCUAAGUAACCUAGCACAUUGAGAAGAACAGCUCAAAUAGCUACUUUGAACACGAUUUUGAGCGUUUUAAAGGCCGAUUCAAAAGAUGUUUUAGUUGAGUAAAAGAUAGAACAAGGUCAGAUCUGUCCAUUUUUGUAGGUAUCGUUCAUAUGCAUGAUGUUUUUGGUCUGUUAAUCGAAUAAACCGAACCAAUAUAUUUUGAUUAUUAUGGUUCGGUUGCUAAUUUCUGUGUGAUUAUUUCGGUGGCCAUUUCAAUAAAAUGAAAUUAGAAAAAACCGAAUAAACCGAAUCGUAUUAACCAUAUUAACCGAACUUCGAGCCCUACCAGCGGUGACAUCAUUCACAACAAUACAUCAAUAUAAAAAAUGUUCACAAUAUUACACGGCGCUAUUUAUACCUUAGCUUCAAUAUGAAUGUCGUUCUGCACAAAAUUAAGCGUCACAAAAGUUUAAAAAAGUAUCCGUCAGCAUGAACAUAUCACCGGCAAUAUAUCGACGGAGUCAACCUAUUAUCACAUGAACAUAAAUGUUAGCCACGGAUUUUUUUUUCUAUCAACUGCAUCAAAAUAGCACUUGCAUGAACAUGGUCAUCACCUCAAAAUGGAGAUCGAAGAACCAAAUGCAAUUUUCUUCCGCCGCCGUUCGUUUGGGUCGAUGCGGACAAAAGUGGAGGCUCAACGCGCUGACCCAUUAGCAAAACGUGUCCGCGCUGACCCAUUUGCGGCCCAAAUGCGUCAGCGCGGACACGAAGCGGACGCCUCGCACACCUUCUCGGUGCCCGCCGCAUCCCCAUCUAGCGGCCGUCCAAGAAUCGCGGCCAGCUUAAUUUAUAACGACCGCCCACCUCGGGCCAACACGUCAGCGCCGACGGUCGGUCGUUUUUAAUCCGAGCAUGCGGCGGACGACGUCGCCACCGCCUGGAACACGGCGUCGCCCCGCACCGACGUUGAUCAACCCAACCGGCCCCGACGACAACGAAGAGGACGCCCUGGGCAACGUGCCACCUCGUAGUUUAGUUUUUUUAAUUUUUAAUUAAUGUAAAUGUGGACGCAUGAACUCUCGCCGUCCUUUGUGGCCGGCAUUAAUAUUUAAUUAAUGUUUUUCAUUUUUGAAAUAUUUGUGUUCUAUUUUUUCGCGCAUCAUAAAAAUGGGUUGGCCAGCGUUGGGCGCAUGCGUCGAACCAAACGCGAAAGCGGACGAGGAUGUCUGCCGGGCCAACCCAAACAGACAAAAGGCAGACAAAAUCGUCAUCCGUUUGGGUCGUCGCGUUGGAGUUGCUCUAACUAAUUUCCACCGUGCAUGCACAAAAAAAAUUUAUGUAAUGCAAAGCUCAUAUCUCGAUCUUCACCUUCGUAGUUCACUUCGCACGGCAAAUCCUACCACAGAAGCUCCAAAUGAGUCCACAUUGUCAAAUAAUAUAAAAAACAGAGAAUACAUACUUAGGAACCAAUCAAACAGAACAAAAAUAUACAUGCGAAUGAAACCAACAAAAAUGGAUAGAUCUCACCUUGGUCUAUCUUUUGUUCAACUAAAACAUCUUUUGAAUCGGCCUUCAAAUCGUUCAAAAUCAUACUUAAAGUAGCUAUUGAGUUCUCAGUGUGCUAGGUUACUUAGAACAGAGAGGAGAGAGUGAGCGCACAAAGGAAUGAGCCGGGCUGCCUCAUAUAAAGAAGGGAACAACGAGCAGAUUCCAGAGCCAACACGGGCACUGUCGGCAUAAAACGCCAAAGCUGACCAGAGCUGUCUCGUCGCGCGCCCCAUGCACAGUACCGGCCGCCUCACGCAGCGGCGGCAUGGCCCAUGGGACCGUCUCCGUUCCGUCACAAUGUGGAAUUUCUGUAAUCUGCACUGUGCCGCCUCGCGCCGUGGCGGCAGGUGACAGGUGUCGCCUGGCGCGCCUGCCGCACGGUUAAGGGGGUCUUUUCUGACUAUUUGAUCUAAAGGUGAUCUUUUUUGUCAAUUCGUCUCGGUAGGUGGUCUUUUUGGACAAAAAAUCGAUCUAUGUUGGUGCUCUUAGUCUCAUGAUUUAUGCUAUAACAAGUCUCUCAUGUGCAUAUCCUAUGUUAGUGAAUCACCUUCUAGCUGCUGAUUACUCUUUGUUGUUAAUUGGUUUGAGAAAACACUACGUGAUCAUGGUUCUGAUUGUGCACCUUCUUGGCUUAGAAAAGUAGAGCAAUUUCUGUUUAUUCUCAAGUUUGGUUAUCUCCAUGGGAGUCCUUGCUGUGUUAUGGCUCGACCGUGCAGCCCUGCGUCCUCGAGCAGGAGCAACUGAUUCCCAAGCUGCCGGUGCUUUGUUCGACAAGGAGCAUGUCGCCGUCACCUUGGGUGCAGCCGUCCGGUGGAAGGCGCUCUGCCUUUUUCAGAAGGCGAGGAGGAUCGGCGGAUCCAGCCCCCCUCCUCUCCAGGUCUCACCUGCGUUCCAUCCUCAUAUUCACCCAUGUCUUCUCAACACUCAUGCUCCCCCCUUCUCUUUCUCUCUGAUCCAUGUUUUCUAUGUCUUAACAUACAUGUCUUUGCGUGUGCGUGCAGCAGCUCGGCGGAGACAAAAGAGGAGGUCACCGGGAGAUGACGAAAGAUCAAAGGAGGAUGGUUAGUGUAUGCUGCCUGAGUACUGUCAAAUCUGUGUUUUUAUACAGUGUUGGUUCCCAACUACUGAAGUCAAAAAUUCACUAAGCUUGUGGGUACAGUAAGUUAGUGUUAAUGUCUGUCACUGGUUACAGAAGUUAGUGGUUCACUGGAUAUUGGUUACAGUAAAAUACCCCUAUGUUACAGUAAGUUAAUGGUUAACUGAACUACCGAAGAUUUGUCUUCGAUUGUACAUUAAAGUUAGUGUUCUAAAUGUUCUCAGUACUGUACUGAAUUUGUCACCGACUGUACUGAAGAUUUAAAGUAAACUGAAUUUAGAAUGCAUAUACAUUAGAUUCCAAAAGUAGUAGUAGCACUUGGUUCUCAUAUAAAGCCCAUAAGAGCAACCAAUUUAAAAGUUUAAAGAUAAUUUGUGAGAAUCUACAACAUUUUCUGUAGAGAUUAACGGUGAGGCUUAAUCUACAACAUUAUGUGUAGAUUAAUGGUCAGGCUAAAUUGCACUCCAUUUUCUGAGAAAUUUAAACUGGAUGCUGGUAUUUCUAUGGUCCAGUGAAUUAAUGCUUGACUGUAUCUCCAAUACACUCAACCAUUCUCUGUGAUUAUAGUUUCACCGUAUCUCAAACACAGGGACAAAUGUAUUACUCCAGUAUAAAUCUCCAAGGAUUGUGUGCAAGCAAUCUCUAGGAUCAAUAUUCAGUUUAGCAUAUUAGUUAAUACUAGGGCCAAUAUUCAGUUAACAGUGGGAUCAGUAUUCAGUUAAGGCAAGUAAUGUACAUGUGGUUAGCAUCAACGUGAUCGAUGGAGUGGACAAUGCCAACGAUCAGUUCGUUUUUGUGGAAUGUUAUCUCUGGACUGAACUCAAGCAGUAAGAAUAUAUUUGUAUCUUGAUUAUUAGCAGAACAAGUUGCAUGAUAAUUAUUUCGUUCUUAGGGAAAUAUUCAUUGCUGACUUGCUAUUGACUCUCAGAUUUGCAAGGUCGAUCGACAUAUGCGACAAAGAUCCUGUUGUGCACAAGCAUACUCCAUACAUUGUUAUCCUCGUGAGGCUUGCAGGAAAAAUGGGUCGAUGCACGUGAUGGUCAGUGACCUUCGGCCAGGCAAGAGAAAAGGGAAUUUAAGGUACAUGAUUUUUUGGGUUUGUUGGCCAAAUAACUAAACAAAUUUCUAGGAUAUUCUGAUUGUUGACAAAGCUACUGUUUUUGCCAGGACCUAAUUCGAGCCGUAUGCUUAAACCGCGAGUCAUCCAAGAAGUGGUCCAGUUUUACACAGUGCUCCUAAUAGUACAAUUAAGGAAAAACAGUUAACUCCCUCAAUGAUUUGGCCCUUGACUCCCUCUCAAUAUGGUUUCCCGAUGCAUAAUGGACUACCAAACAAUGUUAAGGAGCCAUAGAUAAGCAAGAAUUCACAAUUAACAGCCCUUGUAGCUGUGAUAAUAUGACAUCAUGAUAGUUUGGUAAGCAAGAAUUCACAAUUAACAGUCCUUGUGGCAUUUACAUACAUGUUGGGUUCAGAUAGACAUAUUAAAUACCUUGAUGCUGACCCUAACAAGCCCAACUAGACCAUAUGAACGUGCAGCAACCAAGACGGUAUUUGCACUUCUGCAGAUACUAUCUAAUUUCGAUACAGAACUCUCUGGAAGUUGCAGUGGUGAAAAUUUGGUGCAUACUUCAUAUAGAUGUUCUUCUAGAAUGUGCAUUUUAGGAUCAAGCAUUUUCUUGAUUUUCAUAUUGAAGAUCAAGCAUUUUCUUGAUUUUCUUAAUAUGGAGCUUUGACCAUCUCUUUGGUGACCAGUUUGGAUAAUUUUAGUUAUAGCACCCACGCAAAUUUUGUUUCUUUCUGUAUAUUAUCAGUCUUCUCAAAAAUUGAAGGAUUGGUAAGCCUUUUGGUAUUAUAUAUUUUUAGUCCAUGUUAGGAUAUCUGUCUAUUGUAGGUGAACUGGAGCUUCCACUUUUAUCAAUGUUGCUUGUGUAAAAUAUAGACAUAGCUUUUCAGGCAAUUCUGCUUUGUCAUGGAGAUGAAAAGUAAUUAUUUUGGUGUGGUGAAUCAAUUGUUUUGCUGGGUGAGAUAUAUCCCUCUCUUUGUUUUCUAUUUGUCAGGUUUCAUUUGAUUGAGGUUUAUAAGACAAGAUCGCAAGUUGUAGAAAGGAUGUACAUAUAUGUACUUUUCUGUAUAGAUCUUGCCCUGUGAAAUUAUGUAGUAGUGUUUGUACUUUUUUUUUCUUAUAUCAUGGUGUCGCCUGUGAGUGUUCCCAAUAGUGUGGACUAAGUAUGCAGCAAUAGUGUGAAUCAAUCUACACUUGCAGCAUGACUGUUUUUUCUCCCUGGGCCUUUUUAUUUAUGUGAUAGAACUUUCUUUAGCAAUACACCAAUUCAGAAUAUUCAUAUAUUCUUUUCUUAGUCAUUUUCAAUUUUUAUAUGUUGGCGAAGAACUUACUUUAGCAGCAUAGUGCUAACAAACUUACUUAGGCUAUCAAACAGUGUACAACUAAAGAGAAUUCAAUUAGCUGGCUUGUUUGUAAUCAGUGGUCUAGGUAGGUUGCAAGGAAGAGGGCUUUUGUAUCAUUCUUCUUUUGAUUUUUUGGAUCAAUGGUCUAGGUAGAUUCCAAAGACGGGAUUUUUGGUGUUGGCUUCUUUGGAAUUAGUGGUCUAGCUAGGUUCCAUGGAGGAGGGAUGUCCUCAUAACCUGUUAUUAUAAACCAUAUAUGAUUAGAAGACAAGAAAGAAUGGCAAAGAGGCACAAGAUUCUCAUGCCAAAGAGAUACUCCUCACUCAAAGGAUUUUGACUGACGAGUCCAGGUUUGGUACUAAUUAUGAUCACUUUCAGGUCCAUUUGCAGGUUUGGUUUGAUUUUCCUUUAUGAUGCAGCACCAUCAUUUGGACUUACAACUCUAAACCAGUAUAUAAAGAAAUUUAAAGUUCUGGAUAUAUAUUCCAAUGAUGUAGUGUAAGAUCCAUUCUCAACAAUCCUUUCUACUUUGGUUUUCGAUGUGAUGCCAUUGCUCGACUCCUCCCUUCUAUUGGAAAAUGGUGCUCUUCUAUAUCACUCUUCAUCUUCAAAAAAAAUAGUUAUUUUGUUUUUAUGUUCCUUUGGUUAUACCAUGCUUAGAUAUGUAAGCAUACCAAUAGCUUGGCAUUUACCUCCUGGUUAUGCCAAAAACUUUAUAAUAUUCGAUUUGAAUAAUUUUGUUGCAGUGUCAUGUAGUAUUAUUCUUGUGAGAAUUCAGUUGCCAGAACUCUCUGUUUCUGAUGGUUUUCAACCAUGUUCGACUACUUUGCAAAUUAUUUUGUUCCUGCUGCUACAACAUAAGAAGAGAUAAGUGGAACUGGCGCGGUGAGCUAAGCUGAUUUUGAGAUUUUCCAACAUUUAUACAUGUUCAUAUCUAAUAUUUUUGGACAUCCUUUUUGGUUUGAUCAAAUAGUGGUAUGAUAGUGUUACUAGUGCUAUUUGUUUCCAUUCUAGGUUCACUCAUCUCUUUAGAAUUCUAUCAACAGGUCUUUCGGACAACACCUCGACAAGCAAGAUCUUCAGACAGAGCUAUCCAAUACACUGCCCAUAUGACAGAAGAACAAUGUAUAUCUGUUCUCUUAGGCUACUGUUAGGACUUGCUUUUGGUAUAUCAUGUGACAUUUUGUAUGACAUCCUCAAAGUGAUGUAAUUAACCAAACCAUCACUGUUAUUAGGGCUUAGUCCUCCUAUAUCUUUCUUUGAGAAAUUCAAAUGAUGGAAUCAAUGGUCUAUAUUUCCUUCAGUAUGUGGAAUAUAUUCUGUAUAACCAGUAGUGGACUGGGUGGGUGCUGCCAUCGUGCUUUGCUAAUCAUGUAACAACCUGAAUCGAAUAUGAAUUGUGUUCUACCAAGUUGGAUAUAACUGUCACUGCAUUGUAAAUAAGUUAUUGUGUGAUGCCAUUCUUUUUUACUUUUGGUAUGAUGUUCUAAACGUGCGCACUUUUCCCUUCCAUCAUGUCAACCUAUCAAAGUUGAAACUGUCAAGUUGUGUAUGUGACCGCACCCGGCAGGGGUGCGGGGUGCGGCAAGCCGCACUUUUCAUCUAGUCUAACAUAUAAAAGCUGCUAGAGUACCCGCCAUCCCAGCGCCAUCUCCGUUUCGAAUGAUUCCUGUACGCUCGAUCUGCCUCGCUGGCUCGUUUUUACGGUGCUGUCAAAAAUCCAGCCACUCGUUCAUCUGCACAUUGUGCUUUCCUGCAUAAGUGAAUGACUGGUGGGCCUCCUUUUCUCACUGGCCCAGUUUUGCGGUGUGUCUCGCGUGUACGCUGCGUGUGAAAAGAGGGGAUCCGCAUAGAGAGUGGGGUUCGCACGGUAAAACCUAGCCACCAAUCCCCUCAAGCCCUGUGUCCUCUCCUCUCCCUCCCCUCCCCUUCUCUCGCCGCCAUCACCCGUCGCUGGAGCCCUGCUUCCCCUCCUCCCCUCCCCCCACUUCUCUCGUCGCCAUCGCUCGUUGCUUUCUUCGCCCGCAUUCGUUCCGACGGAGGCGGCGGCGGUAGCGACCUGCACGCCAAGGGCGAUGGCAGUGGCGUUCGAUCUGAUGCAGCGCCAUGGAGAGAGGAAAGGAAAGAGAGGAGGGUGAAAGAGAGAGGGAAAAGGAGAUGGAGGUGUGUUGGCUGACGUGAGAGGGUCAUCGGCCUGGAAGGACGCGGACGACAGCGGCUUGGACCAACGGUGUCCUGGCUUUGNNNNNNNNNNNNNNNNNNNNNNNNNNNNNNNNNNNNNNNNNNNNNNNNNNNNNNNNNNNNNNNNNNNNNNNNNNNNNNNNNNNNNNNNNNNNNNNNNNNNNNNNNNNNNNNNNNNNNNNNNNNNNNNNNNNNNNNNNNNNNNNNNNNNNNNNNNNNNNNNNNNNNNNNNNNNNNNNNNNNNNNNNNNNNNNNUUGUUGGUGAGGUGUUCCACGGUGAGGUAUGAAGAGACGAUGUACCAUCUUCUGCAUAAAAGUAGUUUUUCUUUCUUCAUGUGAUUAUUUUGGGAUCUAGCUCUAUGCAGCCACUUUUCUAGAUUAACUUUAGAAUAUGGUGGCAGUAAUUGGUUGAAUGGUUGAAGCAGUAGUCAAUUUGGUUCAUAUGCUUUGAAUAAAAUUGUGUUCAUAGAUCAUGUUAUGCACUUUGAAUGAAAUUGUGUUCAAUAUACCAAGGACAUUAAGAAUUCGAUUCAUAAAUGCAGCCAAGAUGCAGAGCGGUGGUGGACGGCGGCAGCCUGCUCCCAAGUUGCAGGUGAUGUUGCGAGAUAGCAGUAUACCAAGGGUUCUAAGAAUUUGAUUCAUAAAUGCAUCCAAGAUGCGUAGCGGUGGUCGACGGCGGCGGCCUGCAGCUCCCAAGUUGCAGGUGAGAAAAUAAUGUGGCGGUUGUUGGUUUGCAUAAAUACUGAUCGAGGCAUUGUGAGAAUAUUUUGUGAGGUAUCCUGGUUGGCAUAUCACAAGCUGCUAAUGUUGUUCAACCAGGUGUGUGUGUGGGCAUCUUCAUGAUCACUAAUUACAAAUGAACACACGUAUCUUCUCUCGAAGUUCUGAGUGUUGAGACUUGAGAGUAGUGGCUCAUUGUUUCUGUAUUCAAAUACUGAUGAAUCGACACUUCCAAAAGAUAUGUAAGUUCAGUCAUCAUCUCUGACUCUAUGCUGUAUAUCAUAAGGUGUUUUAUUUCUCAAGCCACUGUUUGGUCUGUGUACAAUAUGUGCUUCCUCUUUGUAGGUCAUUCAAAUUGAUAGGAUAAUGUAUGAUCAUGCUUUGUAUAGAGCUGACCUCACAUGGAACGUCCUAUCCAUCUUAAACUUCACCCAGGCUUGAUACAAUUGACCCUUUAAUUUCCUAGAAAUUCUCAUCUUUGCAUGUGCAAAUAUUAUUUUAUUUGUCAUACUCUUAUACAUUGAAGUUACAUUUUAUCCCACAGACUGAUGGCCAAAGAAGAUUUGGGAAGUUCCACUAUGUUCCUACAGACUGUUGGCCAAAAAAGAUUUGGGGGAAAAUAGCUCUAGAGAAGGAUUGAGAUGAAAAUGGUAGAAUCAUGGUAGAACUGUUUAUAUUGCUGAUUGAGACGGCGAUUGUGAUUUAUUGCUUUUUACUAAUUUUUUAUCUUUUCUACUUUGCUCAGAUCAUUUAUAUAGGUUGUUCUUUCUUUAGUACCAAUGAAUAACUUGGUUACACGAUAUACUUGAAGACUGUAGUAGGAAUAAAAUGCUUGGCAGACCAAACUAAUUAGGUAAGCUGAGAACUAAUUAAACCCUAGAAUAAUUGGUUGCCAGUGAUAGAAUCAUCUUGUACUAUUGUACAUAACUAAUUUUGAUUUCAACUUUGGUGUGGUCAUGUAGCUUUGAAGUUUCCUGGACACAGACUACUCUUGCAUCAUUAUGUGCAACCCACAGGGAUCUCGCUCGGUGAGACAUGCACACCUAUGCCACAUCUUUACAUGUAAGUUUGUUUUGCUUAGCCAUGGACAGUGAGGUCCCCCUUCUCUGAUUUCUUCAUUCCCAGUUCAUUUAUUUGUUUGAUAUAAAUAUCUUUACUAUAGGAUUUAUGUCCUUGCCAACUCUACAAUUGUUAAUUGCACACUCAGAGUAUGGAUAUUGAAUUAGCUACUUUUGCGAUCCCUGGACUACACGAGUCAAUAGAGCUGAUGUUAAUCAGUGUUUCUGGAUUGCCCAUCUUUCAGUUGAGUUAAGGCUUUUUCUAUUGUCCGCAAAUGAAAAUUAUUUGAUGUACCCCUGGUAUGAUAAAAGAAGAGAUUGCCCUUUUCCUUUGUAAAAUUUUCCACACACGAUGUCGUCGAGGAUGAUUUCAGAAUUUAUAUGCUCAUUGGUUCCAUUACUCCUUUCUCCAUUAACUCAUAUUAGACAGUGGUGUAUAAAGGUUGCACCUGACUCUGUUUUCCAAGGAAAUACAAAUGAAGUUAUAUUACUUGCAACCUGCGACCCCUCUUCGCUAAACAAGAAAAGUAAAAAUGAUAACCUAUCAGGCAGUAAAAUUACGUGGCUGAUCUCUGUUUUGUGCAUGUUCGGUUGGGAUUAUGAGUUGUUCUACUUUCCUUAAGAGAGCUUAUUUUCCUCUCAUGAGAUGCAUACUUAUAUUUCUGAAAUAAAUGAAUCUUUUGGGUUGUAACCUGUUCUUAGUAACGAUGCUUUACCAUCUGCCUUCAGCUCUCCUUUAUGUUGUUUUUUCUAAAUUAUUUCUAUGGACUACUACCAUAACUUGUUGGUUUAGUUUAGUUAGGUGUCUAGGAAGAAUUUCCAGUCUUGCAGAUGAAUCAUGAUAUCAGGUUUAGGCAUGCACAUGGCCACUAAUCACAAAAAAUGAUAUCUGAUAAAGCCAUCAUCAUGUCAUGUAAUUACUUGCAGAACAAUUAUAUUGUUUUUUGGGGCGGUAAAGCGGAAACGGUAGGACUCCGCAAGUCAUGUGAGUGUUGUUUGAUUAUUUACUUUCUCAAGUGUGUGGAUGUCGUUAGCAUGUUUAGUAUACGCACGGAGAUAUGCAAAGUGUAAAAAUAGUUUCCUGGGAACGUCAGAUUUUUUUUCUCCUUGGAACGAAUGAAAUGUUCGCCAGCGAGCGAUCACCCCACCGAACGUUUUUGGUCGAUCUGGGGGAGGAGCUGGACCGAACGAUUCGCCCCAGGCCCCCACGCGAACAGUUGCCCCUGCAGGCAAAAACAAAACUUUGACUAGGCCUUUACAGCCUCCAAUUAGGCUAAAAAAUGGCCCUGUUUUUUGUGACGCCUCAACACUUGGAUCAUCGCUCGAGGUUAUUGCUUUUGAGUUUCAGGUGAUAGGUUCUUUUUAUUGAUUUUUUGGAAAUCAUGAUGCUAAAUAUAUGGAUUGUGUCAGUUAGCUAAUCUAUUGGCUCUUUGAUGUGAAUGGUGACAUGAUGCCAAUGAAAAUACAUUUUGAACUGAUAGUAUUUGUAUAGUUUAAUUUUGACAGAGUAUAGGAGCAUACUCAAUGUCUUCCGCUUUUUGUAUGAGGUCGGCUUAUCUUGCUUAUAGUAAUUAGCUAAAUAAAUAUAUGGGCAUUUAAGAAUAUCUUUGCAAUUAGGCCAGGCGUGAGAAAAAUUUCAAAGACGAUGAUGUUCUCUUUUGGUGUAUUUCUAUUCUCCCUGUUCCAAAUUUUUUGUUUGGAUGCCACUGGCACACCACAUGCUGUUCUGAAGAUAUCAUGCUAUGGGACUUCUCAGCAGAACCUAAACAAAAGGAAGCUAUGGUUUUACUUGCAGCUCAGAUUUCACAUCCUUCCCAGGUUUCACAAAAAACAUAAACAUAUGCUUGGAUGGGUGUCCUUGCCUGCGACCUUGCUGUCUCCAACCCAUCCACAGGUAUUGCAACUCCUUCCCAUCCAACUUAUUCACUGUUCGUCCUCUCUGCUGUGAUUUGGCGGUUGAAAUCAAUUCGUCUGGAUAGGGAGGAGCAAUUGAGUAAUCAUUUACGCACCAUGUAUAGGCUGAAAGAUGAAAACUAAAGACCAUCGAAAAGAUAACACCAUCUUUUAUUGGAAAGAUAGAGAUGGAAAACUAAAAAAAACAUAGUAUUAGUUUUUUAUCCAAUGGAAAUUCAUACCGCGUGAGCCCUGAGGUUGAGAAUGGGAAAAUGACUGAACUUGUUCACAACACUAGCAGUAAUCUUGAUCUUUAUUUAACUGAUUUUGUAUUCUCGACCAGUUUGCAUACUUUUAUAGAUGAAUUAUUCCCGGUGUUACUGGUUCACUUGCUACAUGGCUCGAGCAUGCUACUCCUAACCUAAGUGGUUGUUGGUCUCACUUUAUUGAUGGAUGGGGGAGGUUGAGAAUUUUCUUAUGUUUGUUUGUAUUUUCUUUCGAGAUAAUCUGCAUGGUGCUACUUAAAAUUUAUGAAUGGUUUGUCGGCAUGUCACUGGGAUUUAGAGGCAGAAACGUCUUACUCCUGACUACAUGGAGUUCUCAAUAAAUUAUUCUUGUCAUUUUUUUCGAGGUGAUGUUCGCUCCGGUUCCUCCUUCUCUACCCAGCAGUAUGGGUAACUCAAAGCAUAGAUCUGAUUGUGCUUCUUGCAGUUUAUGCUUCCUAUCUCCGGGUCAUCUGCCUCCCAAAGACUACUCCGAGGUAUGAAAGUAAAGCCCCUUCCUCCGCCUUAAUGUUGAUCACGUUCAUACCUGUGUUAUAUUUUUUGUGUGCAACCACAAUAAUGGUUCUUUAUUUGUUUCAUUUUGACAUACAUGUUUCUGGAAUACUCUUAUCUGCCAUCAGACAUGCAGUCAAAGUUGAUUUUCUUAUAAGCUAGAACAUCGCAUAGCUAAUUGAUAGUUGCACCGCCUGAUUCUUUUUACCUAGAAGGUCCUGAUGCACAUUGUAUAUGUUGGGGAACGUAGCAGAAAGUCAAAAUUUUCUUACGUGUCACCAAGAUCUAUCUAUGGAGAGACCAGCAACGAGUAGAAAGAGAAUGCAUCUACAUACCCUUGUAGAUCGCUAAGCAGAAGCGUUCAAGUGAACGGGGUUGAUGGAGUCGUACUCGUCGUGAUUCAAAUCACCGAUGAUCCUAGUGCCGAACGGACGGCACCUCCGCGUUCAACACACGUACAGCCCAGUGACAUCUCCCACGCCUUGAUCCAGCAAGGAGAGAGGGAGAGGUUGAGGAAGACUCCAUCCAACAGCAGCACAACGGCGUGGUGGUGGUGGAGGAGCGUGGCAAUCCAGCAGGGCUUCGCCAAGCACCAUGGGAGAGGAGGAGUAGGGAGAGAGGUAGGGCUGUGCCAGAACUUCGUGUAUAGCUCCCAUGCGCCUCCCCACUAUAUAUAGGGGUGGAGGGGCUGGUUUCUUGCCCUCCGAGUCCAUUGGGGCAUUGGCCAAGGUGGGAGGAAAGAAAUCUCAUUAUUUCCUUCCCCACCGAUUGUUAUCCCCCCUUUUUAGGGAUCUUGAUCUUAUCCCUUCGGGAUAUGAUCUUAUUCCUUCUAAGGGGGGAUCUUGGUGCGCCUUGACCAGGGGUGUGGGGCCUUGACCCCACUACCCACGUCCAUGUGGGUCCCCCCAUGCAGGUGGGCCCCACUCCGGAACCUUCUAGAACCUUCCCGGUACAAUACCGAAAAAUCCCGAACAUUUUCCGGUGGCCAAAAUAGGACUUCCCAUAUAUAAAUCUUUACCUCCGGACCAUUCCGGAACUCCUCGUGACGUCCGGGAUCUUAUCCGGGACUCCGAACAACAUUCGGUAACCACAUACAAACUUCCUUUAUAACCCUAGCGUCAUCGAACCUUACGUGUGUAGACCCUACGGGUUCGGGAGACAUGUAGACAUGACCGAGACGUUCUCCGGUCAAUAACCAACAGCGGGAUCUGGAUACCCAUGAUGGCUCCCACAUGUUCCACGAUUAUCUCAUCGGAUGAACCACGAUGUCAAGGACUUAAUCAAUCCCGUAUUCAAUUCCCUUUGUCUAUCGGUAUGUUACUUGCCCGAGAUUCGAUCGUCGGUAUCCAAUACCUUGUUCAAUCUCGUUACCAGCAAGUCACUUUACUCGUUCCGUAACACAUCAUCCCGUGAUCAACUCCUUGGUCACAUUGCGCAUAUGAUGAUGUCCUACUGAGUGGGCCCAGAGAUACCUCUCCGUUUACACGGAGUGACAAAUCCCAGUCUCGAUCCGCAUAAAACAAUAGAUACUUUUGGAGAUACCUGUAGUGCACCUUUAUAGUCACCCAGUUACGUUGUGACGUUUGAUACACCCAAAGCACUCCUACGGUAUCCAGGAGUUACAUGCUCUCAUGGUCGAAGGAAGAGAUACUUGACAUUGGCAAAGCUCUAGCAAAUGAACUACACGAUCUUUUGUGCUAGUCUUAGGAUUGGGUCUUGUCCAUCACAUCAUUCUCCUAAUGAUGUGAUCCCGUUAUCAACGACAUCCAGUGUCCAUAGCCAGGAAACCAUGACUAUCUGUUGAUCACAACGAGCUAGUCAACUAGAGGCUCACUAGGGACAUAUUGUGGUCUAUGUAUUCACACAUGUAUUACGAUUUCCGGAUAAUACAGUUAUAGCAUGAAUAAAAGACAAUUAUCAUGAACAAGGAAAUAUAAUAAUAAUACUUUUAUUAUUGCCUCUAGGGCAUAUUUCCAACAGUCUCCCACUUGCACUAGAGUCAAUAAUCUAGUUCACAUCGCCAUGUGAUUAACACUCACAGGUCACAUCGCCAUGUGACUAAUACCCAAGAGUUUACUAGAGUUAGUAGUCUAGUUCACAUCACUAUGUGAUUAACACUCAAUGAGUUUUAUGUUUGAUCAUGUUGCUUGUGAGAGAGGUUUUAGUCAACGGGUCUGAACCUUUCAGAUCCGUGUGUGCUUUACAAAUCUCUAUGUCAUCUCCUAGAUGCAGCUACCACGCUCUAUUUGGAGCUAUUCCAAACAACUGUUCUACUUGGAGCUAUUCUAAAUUAUUGCUCCAUUAUAUGUAUCCGGUCUCUCUACUCAGAGCUAUCCGGAUAGGUGUCAAGCUUGCAUCGUCGUAACCUUUACGACGAACUCUUUUACCACCUCCAUAAUCGAGAAAAUUCCUUAGUCCACUAGUUACUAAGGAUAACUUUGACCGCUGUCCUGUGAGCCAUUCUUGGAUCACUCUUGUACCCCUUGACUGACUCAUGGCAAGGCACACUUCAGGUGCGGUACACAGCAUAGCAUACUGAAGAGCCUACGUCUUAAGCAUAGGGGACGACCUUCGUCCUUUCUCUCUAUUCUGCCGUGGUCGAGCUUUAAGUCUUAACUUCGUAGCUUACAACUCAGGCAAGAACUCCUUCUUUGACUGGUCCAUCUUGAACACCUUCAAGAUCAUGUCAAGGUAUGUUCUCAUUUGAAAUAUUAUUAAGCAUUUUGAUCUAUCCUUAUAGAUCUUGAUGCUCAAUGUUCAAGUAGCUUAAUCCAGGCUUUCCAUUGAAAAACACUUUCAAAAUAACCCUAUAUGCUUUCCAGAAAUUCUACGUCAUUUCUGAUCAACAAUAUGUCAACAACAUAUACUCAUCAGAAAUUCUAUAGUGCUCCCACUCACUUCUUUGGAAAUACAAGUUUCUCAUAAACUUUGUACAAACCCAAAAUUUUUGAUCAUCAUCAAAGCAUACAUUCCAACUCCGAGAUGCUCACUCCAGUCCUUAGAAGGAUUGCUGGAGCUUUGCAUACUUAUUAGCAUCUUUCGGGCUUGACAAAGCCUUCCGGUUGUAUCACAUACAACCUUUCCUCAUUAAAAUCGUCGAGGAAACAAUGUUUUGACAUCCUAUCUGCAAGAUUUCAUAAAUAAUGCAGUAAUCGCUAAUAUAAUUCCAACAGACUCUUAGCAUCGCUACGAGUGAGAAAAUCUCAUCGUAGUCAACUCCUUGAACUUGUCGGAAAACAUCUUAACGACAAGUCGAGCUUUCUUAAUGGUGACAUUUACCAUCAUUGUCUGUCUUCCUUUUGAAAUCCAUCUGUACUCAUUAGCCUUACGACCAUCGAGCCGUUCUGCCAAAGUCUACACUUUGUUUUCAUACAUGGAUCCUCUCUCGGAUUUUAUGGCCUCAAGCCAUUUAUCGGAAUCCGGGCCCACCAUCGCUUCUCCAUAGCUCGUAGGUUCAUUGUUGUCUAGCAACAUGACCUUCAAGACAGGAUUACGUACCACUCUGAAGUAGUACGCAUCCUUGUCAUCCUACGAGGUUUGGGAGUGACUUGAUCCGAAGUUUCAUGAUCAAUAUCAUAAGCUUCCACUUCAAUUGGUGUAGGUGCCACAGGAACAACUCCCUGUGCCCUGUCACACACUUGUUGAAGAGACGGUUCAAUAACCUCAUCAAGUCUCCACCAUCCUCCCACUCAAUUCUUUCGAGAGAAACUUUUCCUCGAGAAAGGACCCGAUUCUAGAAACAAUCCAUAUUGCUUUCGGAUCUGAAUUAGGAGGUAUACCCAACUGUUUUGGGUUUCCUAUGAAGAUGCAUUUUAUCCGCUUUGGGUUCGAGCUUAUCAACCUGAAACUUUUUCAUAUAAGCGUCGCAGCCCCAAACUUUUAAGAAACGACAACUUAGGUUUCUCUAAACCAUAAUUCAUAUGGUGUCAUCUCAUCGGAAUUACGUGGUGCCCUAUUUAAAGUGAAUGUGGUUGUCUCUAAUGCCUAACCCAUGAACGAUAGUGGUAAUUCGAUAAGAGACAUCAUGGUACGCACCAUAUCCAAUAGGGUGCAACUAUGAUGUUCGGACACACCAUCACAUUAUGGUGUUCCAGGCGGUAUUAAUUGCGAAACAAUUUCCACAAUGUCUUAAUUGUGUGCCAAAACUCGUAACUCAGAUAUUCAUCUCUAUGAUCAUAUCAUAGACAUUUUAUCCUCUUGUCACAAUGAUCUGCUACUUCACUCUGAAAUUACUUGAACCAUUCAAUAAUUCAGACUUGUGUUUCAUCAAGUAAAUAUACUCAACAUUUACUCGAAUCAUCUGUGAAGUAAGAACAUAAUGAUAUUCACUGCAUGCCUCAGCACUCAUUCGACUGCACACAUCAAAAUGUGUUACUUCCAACAAGUUGCCAUCUUGUUCCAUCUUACUAAAAAUGAGGCUUUUCAGUCAUCUUGCCCAUGUGGUAUGAUUUGCAUAUCUCAAGUGAUUCAAAAUCAAGUGAGUCCGAACGAUCCAUUUGCAUGGAGUUUCUUCAUGCAUAUACACCAAUAGACAUGGUUCGCAUGUCUCAAACUUUUCAAAAACGAGUGAGUCCAAAGAUCCAUCAACAUGGAGCUUCUUCAUGCGUUUUAUACCAUUAUGACUUACAUGGCAGUGCCACAAGUAAGUGGUACUAUCAUUACUAUCUUAUAUCUUUUGGAAUGAAAAUGUGUAUCACUACAAUCGAGAUUCAAUAAACCAUUCAGGUUCAAUACUAAUCUUGAUGGUAGAGGGAGUGUGCGAUGUUUGAUCACAUCAAACUUGGAAACACUUCCAACAUAUAUUGUCAGCUCACCUUUAGCUAGUCUCCGUUUAUUCCGUAGCCUUUUAUUUCAAGUUACUAACACUUAGCAACCGAACCGGUAUCUUAAUACCCUGGUGCUACUAGGAGUACUAGUAAAGUACACAUUAACAUAAUGUAUAUCCAAUAUACUUAUAUCGACUUUGCCAGCCUUCUCAUCUACCAAGUAUCUAGGGUAAUUCUGCUUCAGUGGUUGUUCCCCUUAUUACAGAAGCACUUAGUCUCGGGUUUGGGUUCAAUCUUGGGUUUCUUCACUAGAGCAGCAGCUGAAUUGCCGUUUCAUGAAGUAUUCCUUCUUGCCCUUGCCCUUCUUGAAACUAGUGGUUUCACCAACCAUCAACAAUUGAUGCUCCGUCUUGAUUUCUACUUUCGUGGCGUCAAACAUCGCGAAUAUCUCAAGGAUCAUCAUAUAUGUCCCUGAUAUAUCAUAGUUCAUCACGAAGCUCUAGCAGCUUGGUGGUAAUAACUUCGGAGAACCAUCACUAUUUCAUCUGGAAGAUCAACUCCCACUCGAUUCAAGCGAUUGUUGUACUCAGACAAUCUGAGCACAAGCACAACAAUCGAGCUUUUCUCCUUAGUCUGCAGGCUAAGAAAAUCGUCGGAGGUCUUAUACCUCUUGACGUGGGCACGAGCCUGAAAUCCCAAUUUCAGCCCUCGAAACAUCUCAUAUGUUCCGUGAUGUUUCGAAAACGUCUUUGGUGCCUCAACUCUAAACCGUUUAACUAAACUAUCACGUAGUUAUCAAAACGUGUAUGUCCGAUGUUCACAACAUCCACAGACGAGGUUUGGGGUUCAGCACACUGAGCGGUGCAUUAAGGACAUAAGCUUUCUACUGUCCGCAUAAUCACUACUGUCAACUUUCAACUAUAUUUUCUCUAGGAACAUAACUAAACAGUAGAACUAAAGCGCGAGCUACGACAUAAUUUGCAAAGAGUCUUUUGACUAUGUUCAAGAUAAUUAAGUUCAUCUUAUGAACUCCCACUUAGAUAGACAUCCCUCUGGUCAUCUAAGUGAUUACAUGAUCCGAGUCAAUUAGGCCGUGUCCGAUCAUCACGUGAGACGGACUAGUCAUCAUCGGUGAACAUCUUCAUGUUGAUUGUAUCUACUAUACGACUCAUGCUCGACCUUUCGGUCUCCGUGUUCCGAGGCCAUGUCUGUACAUGCCAGGCUCGUCAAGUUAACCCUAAGUGUUUUCGCUGUGUAAAACUGUCUUACACCCGUUGUAUGUGAACGUAAGAAUCCAUCACACCCGAUCAUCACGUGGUGCUUAGAAGCGACGAACUGUAGCAACGGUGCACAUUUAGGGGAGAACACUUCUUGAAAUUGUUGUAAGGGAUCAUCUUAUUUACUACCGUCGUUCUAAGCAAACAAGAUGCAUAAACAUGAUAAACAUCACAUGCAAUCAAAUAGUGUAGUGACAUGAUAUGGCCAAUAUCAUAUAGCUCCUUUGAUCUUCAUCUUCGGGGCUCCAUGAUCAUCUUGUCACCGGCAUGACACCAUGAUCUCCAUCAUCAUGAUCUCCAUCAUCGUGUCUUCAUGAAGUUGUCACGCCAACGACUACUUCUACUUCUAUGACUAACGCGUUUAGCAAUAAAGUAAAGUAGUUUACAUGGCGUUCUUCAAUGACACGCAGGUCAUACAAUAAAUAAAGACAACUCCUAUGGCUCCUGCCGGUUGUCAUACUCAUCGACAUGCAAGUCGUGAAUCCUAUUACAAGAACAUGAUCAAUCUCAUACAUCACAUAUAUCAUUCAUCACAUCCUUUUGGCCAUAUCACAUCACAUAGCAUACCCUGCAAAAACAAGUUAGACGUCCUCUAAUUGUUGUUUGCAUGUUUUACGUGGCUGCUAUGGGUUUCUAGCAAGAACGUUUCUUACCUAUGCAAAACCACAACGUGAUAUGCCAAUUGCUAUUUACCCUUCAUAAGGACCCUUUUCAUCGAAUCCGUUCCGACUAAAGUGGGAGAGACUGGCACCCGCUAGCCACCUUAUGCACCAAGUGCAUGUCAAUCGGUGGAACCUGUCUCACGUAAGAGUACGUGUAAGGUCGGUCCGGGCCGCUUCAUCCCACAAUACCGUCGAAACAAGAUUGGACUAGUAACGGUAAGCAUAUUGAACAACAUCAACGCCCACAACUACUUUGUGUUCUACUCGUGCAAAGAAUCUACGCAAUAGACCUAGCUCAUGAUGCCACUGUUGGGGAACGUAGCAGAAAUUCAAAAUUUUCUUACGUGUCACCAAGAUCUAUCUAUGGAGAGACCAGCAAUGAGUAGAAAGAGAAUGCAUCUACAUACCCUUGUAGAUCGCUAAGCGGAAGCGUUCAAGUGAACGGGGUUGAUGGAGUCGUACUCGUCGUGAUUCAAAUCACCGAUGAUCCUAGUGCCGAACAGACGGCACCUCCGCGUUCAACACACGUACAGCCCGGUGACGUCUCCCACGCCUUGAUCCAGCAAGGAGAGAGGGAGAGGUUGAUGAAGACUCCAUCCAACAAUAGCACAACGGCGUGGUGGUGGUGGAGCGUGGCAAUCCAGCAGGGCUUCGCCAAGCACCAUGGGAGAGGAGGAGUAGGGAGAGAGGUAGGGUUGUGCCAGAACUUCGUGUAUAGCUCCCAUGCGCCUCCCCACUAUAUAUAGGGGUGGAGGGGCUGGUUUCUUGCCCUCCAAGUCCAUUGGGGCGUUGGCCAAGGUGGGAGGAAAGAAAUCUCAUUAUUUCCUUCCCCACCGAUUGUUAUCCCCCCUUUUUAGGGAUCUUGAUCUUAUCCCUUCAGGAUAUGAUCUUAUUCCUUCUAAGGGGGGAUCUUGGUGCGCCUUGACCAGGGGUGUGGGGCCUUGCCCCCACUACCCACGUCCAUGUGGGUCCCCCCAUGCAGGUGGGCCCCACUCCGGAACCUUCUAGAACCUUCCCGGUACAAUACCGAAAAAUCCCGAACAUUUUCCGGUGGCCAAAAUAGGACUUCCCAUAUAUAAAUCUUUACCUCCGGACCAUUCCGGAACUCCUCGUGACGUCCGGGAUCUCAUCCGGGACUCCGAACAACAUCCGGUAACCACAUACAAACUUCCUUUAUAACCCUAGCGUCAUCGAACCUUAAGUGUGUAGACCCUACGGGUUCGGGAGACAUGUAGACAUGACCGAGACGUUCUCCGGUCAAUAACCAACAGCGGGAUCUGGAUACCCAUGAUGGCUCCCACAUGUUCCACGAUGAUCUCAUCGGAUGAACCACGAUGUCAAGGACUUAAUCAAUCCCGUAUUCAAUUCCCUUUGUCUAUCGGUAUGUUACUUGCCCGAGAUUCGAUCGUCGGUAUCCAAUACCUUGUUCAAUCUCGUUACCGGCAAGUCACUUUACUCGUUCCGUAACACAUCAUCCCGUGAUCAACUCCUUGGUCACAUUGCGCAUAUGAUGAUGUCCUACCGAGUGGGCCCAGAGAUACCUCUCCGUUUACACGUAGUGACAAAUCCCAGUCUCGAUCCGCAUAAAACAAUAUAUACUUUCGGAGAUACCUGUAGUGCACCUUUAUAGUCACCCAGUUACGUUGUGACGUUUGAUACACCCAAAGCACUCCUACGGUAUCCAGGAGUUACACGCUCUCAUGGUCGAAGGAAGAGAUACUUGACAUUGGCAAAGCUCUAGCAAAUGAACUACACGAUCUUUUGUGCUAGUCUUAGGAUUGGGUCUUGUCCAUCACAUCAUUCUCCUAAUGAUGUGAUCCCGUUAUCAACGACAUCCAAUGUCCAUAGCCAGGAAACCAUGACUAUCUGUUGAUCACAACGAGCUAGUCAACUAGAGGCUCACUAGGGACAUAUUGUGGUCUAUGUAUUCACACGUGUAUUACGAUUUCCGGAUAAUACAGUUAUAGCAUGAAUAAAAGACAAUUAUCAUGAACAAGGAAAUAUAAUAAUAAUACUUUUAUUAUUGCCUCUAAGGCAUAUUUCCAACAGUAUAGCAGACAUAAUAUGUAGUUGACGAGGAGGUUUUACAAUGAUAUAAAUAUAAAAUAAUUUGAAUCAUUGCAAUGCAUCAUUUUCUCUCAUUCAAUAUAAAUAUAAAAUGAUUUUGGCACGGCCAUCCUUUUUGGUAUAUAGUGUUUCCGAUGACAAACAUAGGGAUCUUUUGUACAGAUGCAAAUUUCCAUCUUCUUGUAUUAGACCUUGGAACUUUGCAGUUAUUGCAAGUUCUCUUACAUAUACUGUCUUCGGACUUUGUACUUCAAUUUUAAAUUUCAGAACUAGGAUAGUUAUAUACCUCCUUGGCAGUGGCGGAGCUAGCAUUUGACAGCAGGGUGGUCCGGCCCGAAAAAUUGAUAAGCAAAAUGACAUCUGAAUGUUCUAACAAACUAUCAAUAUCUUAUAGAAGGUCUUACAAACAACUAAAAUUCUCAAUUAAUCUCAGUUUUGUACAUGAUAUGUUAGCUUGCCUUUUGUAAGUAUUUUUCGAUCGAGUCGAAUUAGCUGCUGCUAUAUAUGGUGAUUUGCAUGAGCAUAAUACUGUUGUAGAAGACCAUGCUAAUCAAGCGAAUAUGCUUCUUUAGGAGAAUCGAAAUAACAGUCAGUCGUGGAUGGAUUAGAAUGGAAUAUUUAUUACCUUGGUGACAACGUCGGGCGGGCGUUGAAUCGUGGACAUGUCCCCCAUGGAUUUGGGCGGCUGGGCGAACAGAUGGACCGAGCUCCCUCCUCCGCCCAAGAAGCAACCGAGCUCCCUCCUCCGCCCAAGAAGCAGCCGGGGAAGCAGCACCGACGACCGGAACAACAUGGCGGAUCCAAAUCAUGAGUCUCCUUUGUCCAGAGCUGAACUGAGUGGCUGUCCCCAUGAGAGGACACGGGCACAACCAAACCCACACACACCAGACUACCGCUUGCUCCCGCGGAACCAUUGUGUCCCACAACGCUUGCACCUGUCCACCCGUGAACGUUGUGUCCCACUGCCGCUUGCACCUGCCCACCCGUGAACUGUCGGUUGCACCCGUGAAUGUUGUGGCCCACCCGGAAAAUGCAUAUCUGAGCGCUCGCAGGUGCCAGCCAUCUAUUCCAAGGGGAGAAAAAAACUUUACUUCCAAGGAGUUUUUCUUUUCUUUCUAAAGGGUCUAUUAUUCUCAGGUACUCUCUCCGUCCCAUAAUAUAAAAUACUUUUUGACACUACAUCAGUGUCAAAAAACGUCUUACAUUAUGAGACGGAGGGAAUAGGUUUUAUUCACAUAAACAAGUGUGACGACCGGUCAAAAUCUUACCACUCAAUUAUUAUUUUCAAAAAUGAUCCAUAUCUAUAUCAAUGUUCAUUGAAAAUACAAAGCAUAUCAAACAUAUAAAAAUUACAUUGAGAUUCCAAGACCAUCUCGCAUAGCCACUACUGUCGCGGACGCUAGCCAGGAAGUCUUCAUGCAUGCGCCCCUUGUUCAAUACAUGGAGCCGCAAUCGUCAUUGUUGAACCCUUGCCUAGAUCUGAAGCAUCUGACAUCAAAUCCCGUCACAUGACGAGAAACCCUAACCUCAUCACCCCAAGGAGACGACAGGAAUCUACGCUAGAGCUUCGUUGGCUAUGUUCAAAUGGACUGAAAGACAAACUCGAAGAAGUAGUGCCAUCAUCCACUCGAGUGUCGACCUGUGAGGACUAAAAAACCUGACCUAAACUACUAACCGAAUCGAAGGCAUCGAGAUUCCCAUCCCCAUCAUCGAUCGACGGAGCGGUAGAAAAGGGAAGGUGAAUCCACGGGCUCGCCGGUGAAGUUUCGAGGGGAGAGUUUGCCCUAGCCACCUAGAGUUUACUCUCCCCGAACAGCAAGCGACCGAACGAAUACACAUGUCCGAGCGCUCCCAACCAUCCAUUCCCAAGGAGUUUUUUUUUCCUUUUGAAGGUCUAUAUUCUCUAAGAGUUUUUAUUCACAUAAACAAGUGUGAUGUGAGAUAAUUAAAAAAG